CCAGCCCAACUCGACCAGAAACGAACCGCUAAUGCCGACCUCGACGAUGACGGCGACACCUGGGCGGCUGCCGCGGCCGCAGGGCUCGUCGUCGGCGGUGCCGCGGCCGAGAGGCCUUCCCGGCGUAUCCGUGCUCCUCCUCCCCGACAAGGCAAUGGACGCCGGAGAGGAUAUGCCUCCAGUUGCCGAGGAGCCCACGCUGCGUCGUUCCGACAAGGUUGCAUGCUAGUCAUCGACUUUUUCUUUUCAUAGUAGUAAAUCAUUACAGCUAUGAGAAGAGAAGAGGUUGAGGCAACUCCACAUUAAUGAUCUUAGCACCUUAAGAUAAACUUGGUGAACAAAGUCAUCAUAACUUCCAGUACUUGUAUCCCGGCUUGUGUCAAAUGCUACAUAUUCAUAAGUUACUGACAGGGGGAUAACACUCCGAUAGGGAACACGUGCAUCAAUGUCUUGGAGAGCAUCUACAAGAUAUGUGUUGCACGAACGAAAUAUGGAAGACUGGCAGAGUAAAGAGAUGGGCUUGUUGCUGUGAAGGAUAUUACAGGGACCUGACUUCUAUUUCCAAGAUCUGAUACAAAUGAAGCUUGUGAGGAUGUCUGAGGGCCUAUGAUAAUUUGUACAUUGUGAUUCUCCAGAAGAUCAAGAGCUGCAGCAUAGAUCAACAAGUUGUAAUUAAUGAUCAUACAAGCAGGAAAAAUUGCUGAUCCCCUAAAAAUAAAAGAAAGAAAUUCCUGGGUUAGAGUGGCAAUGCAUUAUUGCAUUUCAGAUGUUCUUGAGCCAUUGAGUGUUGCAUGCACAAAAAUAUUUAAGGCAGCUGGAAGAUUGUGAUGGGCUGGUUGUCGUGAAGGAAAGAUUGGCCUAGAAAUUUUAUUUUAGUGAUCUUGAGAUAAAUACAGGUCGUGAAGUUCUCUGGGAUCACUACAUUAGUAUUACGGUUCUCGAUCAGAUCAAGGACUGCAGAAUUGCAUACUCAUUUUAACUUUGGUCAAAUAUCGUAUGGAGAAAUCUGAAAUACUUGGCAUCAAAUCUUUGGUCCAGGAACAUGACAAUCUUCUCCCUCAAGGAAAAGGUAACAUAACAGCUACAGAUUCAGGGCUGACAAAAGCAUCACAUAUCUUGCACAUGUUGCCAAACUAUAUCACCUAAUACCUGUAAUGAACAAGAGCAAUUUACUCAUGACAGAAGCCCAAAACUCAUGGGCUUGAGAUGCAGUUUAGACAUAAUCACUCAUGGAAACCCAAAUUAUUUUGCUGACCAAGGAAUUCAUGUGCUCUUUGUCUAGUGAAAUUUUGGGUGGCCGUAAAGUUAAUUGACGUCAAGAGGAGCAGGAUAGUUCCAUGCUGAAUGCAUGGCUUCAGCUUUGGGAAUAAGAAGUCCUGUAGACUGAUCCCCAACCAGUGUGAAAUUUGUCUGUUGUUGGUGCAAAGAAAAAAUCAGAAGCAAACAGUGUUUGUGUGUGCCGCGUAGAAAUCAUCCAGCGCCAUCAAAAUACUGGUCCGUGCUAUUUUCCCCACCAUUGUUUGAAGGUCAAGGAUCACUCCAACUGGGAACCCAUCUACUACCCCAGUUUUGUUAGCAUUUUGGGCUACAGUGAAAUGGACAAGGAGUAACAGGAACAGUAUGGUUUGAGGUGCUCUCUCCAUUACCAGUGCUGUGGCUGUGGAAUGUUUGUGAAAGACUUUGCCUCCCAAGGCCUUACACUCUUAUAAGGCUAGGGGCUUGAGGAAUUCAAACAGUAAGGCUAGCUUAAUUUAAACUUUACGCGUGAAAUAAUGUAGUGCCAUAGGUGUUAUUUUACUCUAUUUCAGUUGUAUUUUUGGAACCCUUGAAGGUCAAAUGAUGUGUCCAUAGCCAUGCAGUGCACCAUUAUGCAGCUCUGCAUUUCUGCAAGCUACUGACAGUACUACAGCACUAAGCAAUAGGCAAUAGUUACUUGCACAGAUGCAAGCAAUCUUUCGUUAGAUCAAUUGAGACUUUGAGAGAGUAGCAGUUGUUUAUGUAAGUUUCAAAGCAGUUGCCUUCUUUCCUGAAGAAACUGAUUUGUGCAGGAGGUUUCUGUAGCUUAUUUAAAAGCCAAUUGAUGGGAUCCUUCCGGAACUGCUUUCAGUUCAUAAA